rnacentral:rRNA from 1 species
CCUACGGGAGGCAGCAGUAGGGAAUAUUGGGCAAUGGGCGCAAGCCUGACCCAGCAACGCCGCGUGAAGGAAGAAGGCUUUCGGGUUGUAAACUUCUUUUCUGAGGGACGAAGAACGUGACGGUACCUCAGGAAUAAGCCACGGCUAACUACGUGCCAGCAGACGCGGUAAUACGUAGGGGGCAAGCGUUAUCCGGAUUGAUUGGGGGGAAAGGGCGGGUAGGCGGGAAAGCAAGGCAGAUGUGAAAACUCAGGGCUCAACCCUGAGCCUGCAUUUGAAACUGUUUAUCUUGAGUGCUGGAGAGGCAAGCGGAAUUCCGUGUGUAGCGGUGAAAUGCGUAGAUAUACGGAGGAACACCAGUGGCGAAGGCGGAUUGCUGGACAGUAACUGACGCUGAGGCGCGAAAGCGUGGGGAGCAAACAGGAUUAGAUACCCGUGUAGUC